CUUGGUUGAUCCUUCUAGUAGUCAUAUGGUUGUCUCAAAUAUUAAGCCAUGCAUGUGUAAGUAUGAACAAAUUCAAACUGUGAAACUGUGAAUGGCUCAUUAAAUCAGUUAUAGUUUGUUUGAUGGUAUCUACUACUCAGAUAACCAUAGUAAUUCUAGAGCUAAUAUGUGGAACAAACCCCAACUUCUGGAAAAUAAAAGGUCGAUGCGGGCUCGGCCUAUUGCUGCGAUGAUUCAUGAUAACUUGAUGGAUCGCACGGCCAUUGUACCAGUGAUGCAUCAUUUAAAUUUCUGCACUAUCAACUUUCGAUGGUAGGAUAGUGUACUACCAUGGUGAUGACGAAUGACAAAGAAUUAGGGUUCGAUUCCAGAGAGGGAGCCUGAGAAAUGGCUACCACAUCCAAGGAACGCAACAGAUGUGUAAAUUACCUAAUCCUGACACGGGGAGGUAGUGACAACAAUUAAUAAUACCGAGAUAAAUAAGUCUAGUAAUUAGAAUGAGUAUAAUCUAAAUCCUUUAAUGAGGAUCCAUUGGAGGGGAAGUCUGGUGCCAGCAGCCACGAUAAUUCCAUCUCUAAUAGCAUAUAUUUAAGUUAUUGCANAUUCCAUCUCUAAUAGCAUAUAUUUAAGUUAUUGCAGUUAAAAAGCUUGUAGUUCGACUUUGGGAUAGGCUAGUCGGUCUGCCUAUAGUGUGCACCGAUCGUCUCAUCCCUUCUAUCAACGAUGAGCUCCUGGCCUUAACUAGCCGGGUCGUGCCUUUGGCGCUGUUACUUUGAAGAAAUUAGAGUGCUCAAAUCAAGCGUAUAUUGUAUACAUUAGCAUGGGAUAAGAUUAUAGGAUUUCAGUUCUAUUACGUUGGCCUUCGAGAUCGGAGUAUGAAUAACAGGGAUAGUCUGGGGCAUUCGAAUUUCAUAGUUAGAGGUGAAAUUCUUAGAUUUAUGAAAGACGAACAACUGUGAAAGUAUUUGCCAAGGAAUUUUUCAUUAAUCAAGAAUGAGAAAUGGGGGUUCAAAGACGAUCAAAUCCCGUCCUAGUCUCAACUAUAAACGAUGCUGAUUAGGGAUCGACGGAUGUUUCUUUUAGGACUCCGCCAGCACCUUAUGAGAAAUCAAAUUUUUUAGGUUCUGGGGGAGUAUGGUCUCAAGGCUGAAACUUAAGGAAUUGAUGGAAGGGCACCACCAAGAGUGGAGCAUGCGGCUUAAUUUGACUCAACACGGGGAAACUUACCAGGUCCAGACAUAGUAAGGAUUGACAGACUGAGAGCUGUUUCUUGAUUCUAUGGGUGGUGGUGCAUGGCCGUUAUUAGUUGGUGGAUCAAUUUGUCUAGUUAAUUCCGUUAACGAAUGAGACCUCAGCCUGCUAACUAGCUAUGAGGAGGUAUCCCUUCAUAGCCAGCUUCUUAGAUAGACUACGGCCUUUUAGUCUGCAGAAUCCCGUGAACCAUCAAGUCUUUAAACGCAAGUUACGUCCAAAGCCAUUAGUCCGAGGGCACGUCUGCCUGGGCAUCACGCAUCAUGUUUCCCCCUCGCAUCGCGCCUUAAUCACGGGGCGUGCUAUCAUGGCAGGGCGGAUACUGGCCUACCGUACGCCUCGAGAUCUCGGCUGGCCUAAAUGCAUGUCCAUAUCCACGGAUU
rnacentral:rRNA from 1 species